rfam:Betaproteobacteria bacterium RIFCSPLOWO2_12_FTLL_62_58 rifcsplowo2_12_scaffold_826, whole genome shotgun sequence.
GUCAUCGCGAGGUGGGGUCUGAAGGAAGCCCAAUCCAAAAGCGCGGGACGAGGUACACGAACCGAAUCUGAGGUGUGGCACGCUCGGGACGAGUUGGCACGUAACAGCGAAGUCCUCCAUUCUCCAAUAGGGUGUGCUUUAUAAAUUCGGCGUCUAUGCGCGGAACGUUCUGUGU